ensembl:lncRNA
UCAUUCCAUGCUUAACGGUUGAAAACACCGUUCUGCUUUGAUUUCCAGAAGCGCAUUUCCGGAGGCCAACUUAAUAAACCCCCCUUGCAUUUGGUACCUGGGAAAAAUAGCUCAGUCUUAGGGCAGGUGGGAACCUGUCUGCUGGCGUUGUGAUGAUGACUCUUUGCCGUUUACCCAGCUGAUUUCUGUGAUGAGUGGCACAUUAAACUGGGAAAAUCUUUCGUUUCUGAUUUGAUUUAUUCUGUUCUUUCAAAGAUGUUAUCAGAUGACUUUCUCCGCUGACUUCAAGCUGUGCACAGCCAACAGCAGACUGUUGAUUUCCAUAAGUAUGGGUGUUUAAGAAGGUAAGUUUUUCUGCUGUGAUGCUACAAUGCUGAGGCUCCAGUAAGCUGUUUGCUGGCUGGUGGAGAGCUGUGCUAGCCGUGUUUGCUGCUGCAUGCAGUUGUGCCAGCUCACACUGGCUGAAGAUGUGGCCUGUUACUUAAGGGUGCUUUUAGACUGCUGCUUGACUUUGCAGUUCUUCUGAUACUCUCACAAGAAUUAACAUUUCAGCUUAAAGCAUCACCCAGAUAAAGCUGGGGAGAGGCAAGAGUAAAAAGUUGGGCUCUUUUUGCUGAAUCUUUUUCUUCUAAGGAUACAUAUUCCUUACUGUGGCUUAAAUAGAAUUCUUUCCAGAAUUAUUUCUGAUAAGUCUAUUAUGAAAAUAGCUUUACUGGCAUCAUGAUGAUAUCUUUGCCGUUUACCCAUCUGACUGGUUGUUGAUGUGUAUCUUUGAAUCUGAAGUGCCAGUACAGUUAGUAACUUCAUAUGAUUUGUUUGAGAUUAAGCUUAUGGAAAACUGACUGAAUUUGAAGUGCUUUGUUUUGUUUUUUUUUCCAGGUUGAGAACAGUGUGAAACGUGGAUUUCUAAUGCACCUGGAAAUGCUUUCCUGGCCCUUCCUGCUUCCCAGAAGCACUGCUUGAUUCUAAUAUGCUCGGGGUGAAGUGCUGUGACUUCUAAUGCCAUGCUGAAAGGAAGAAGUCAAGUAAGAUGGAGUUAGAGUUUAGAUGAAAAUGUGAAUAAUGCCUGAAUGAAGUUCAAGUGAGAGUGUGGCUGAGAAGUAGCCCUUCAGAUGCUGUUAGAACUCAGUAUGAAUAUUUAAGUUCAUAGUUAAUAUUCAUAUAGUUAAUAUUGCAAACAAAAUUUGAUUACAGGAUUAAAACACAUAGGAAAACUUGUUUUCUUGUCUAAAUUAGUGUUUAUAAUAAUGCUGGAAGCUGUUCUGCUCGCUUUCAAUGCAGUGUUAGUAUAAAUAAAAUCUUGGAUUUGUAAUUCCAAU